GACGUAGGGCGCGAGCGUUGUCCGGAUUUAUUGGGCGUAAAGAGCUCGUAGGCGGCUUGUCGCGUCUGCUGUGAAAACGCGAGGCUCAACCUCGCGCCUGCAGUGGGUACGGGCAGACUGGAGUGCGGUAGGGGAGAUUGGAAUUCCUGGUGUAGCGGUGGAAUGCGCAGAUAUCAGGAGGAACACCGGUGGCGAAGGCGGGUCUCUGGGAAGUAACUGACGCUGAGAAGCGAAAGCGUGGGGAGCGAACAGG
rnacentral:rRNA from 1 species